UAAGGAAUAUUGGUCAAUGGACACAAGUCUGAACCAGCCAUGCCGCGUGAAGGAUGAAGGUCCUCUGGAUUGUAAACUUCUUUUAUCUGGGACGAAAACGGGAUUUUUAUCUCAAUUGACGGUACCAGAGGAAUAAGCACCGGCUAACUCCGUGCCAGCAGCCGCGGUAAUACGGAGGGUGCGAGCGUUAUCCGGAUUUACUGGGUUUAAAGGGUGCGUAGGUGGGCUUAUAAGUCAGUGGUGAAAUCUCCGAGCUUAACUUGGAAACUGCCGUUGAUACUAUAGGUCUUGAAUUAUCUGGAGGUAAGCGGAAUAUGUCAUGUAGCGGUGAAAUGCUUAGAUAUGACAUAGAACACCAAUUGCGAAGGCAGCUUACUACAUAUAAAUUGACGCUGAGGCACGAAAGCGUGGGGAUCAAACA
rnacentral:rRNA from 1 species